AAUUAUCAAUUCAAGGGUGGUGCAGUAUUCUAGUCAGUCUACUAUUUCUGAAGGCGGGCCUAAAAAUCCGCUAAAGGGCACAUCGAUGAAGUUCCUUGUGCCGGCUUGAGGCGCCCAGCCUUGGGUCGGUGCUGGGAGUUAAGGUCGCAGGGCGAUCCACAAUGGCAUGUGGGCGUUGACCCUGCUUCCGCGGAGGCCCAUUCUUGUAGGUAUUGCGCUAGCAUGUGCAGCUUAUGAAAUGGGGUAUGAACCUGCGAUGAAAAGUUUAUAUGGGAAACUUUCAAGCAGCGUAGCCUGCCUUGAGUGGUGUUAGAGGGGAUUAUGGCAUAAAAAUGAAUUGUACAGUAGGCCACUGUCUUUCAUUUUUCGACAUAUGAAAUCUACUCUGCAAAAGAGGCUAGGAAAUAGUUAAAGCCUGUUGAGGAAAACUCCUAGACUGUUCUAAUUCGGACAUAUAAAGAGGAUUAUAGUGCGGAUCUAAGUGGCAAUCCAGUCCAGCUGGAGGUGACUCGGCUGAGGUGAGUUUAAAGGGAAACCGCCAGAGCGGCGACGCUCGGUACUUGCUUGGGAAAACCUACUGGACCUAAGCCGCAGUUUUUACUCUUUAUAUGACCACCCUGUUAUACAUAAUU
rnacentral:sRNA from 1 species